rnacentral:rRNA from 1 species
CCUGCUCAAUGCUAACUAAAUAGCCGCUCUAAGUGCUAAGGUAGCAUAAUCAAUUGCUCUCUAAUUAAGAGAUAGUAUGAAAGGAACUACGAUUUAUUAACUGUACCACAACACCUUAAUAAAAUUAACUCACCUGUAAAAAUUCAGCUAAUCUGAGGAAGGACGACAAGACCCCGUCGAACUUUACUAUCAGUUACACUGGGAAGGUCCAAAACUAAAUCUUCUUCCCUCCCUCAAUAAACGCUAUCACAAGAAUAAAACUAAGUUACCGCAGGGAUAACAGCAUAAUAAUUUUACAAAGCCCAUAUUAAAUAAAUUGAUUAUGACCUCGAUGUUGAAUUAACAUCCCUUUUAGCAAAACCCUCUACACCACGGAAGUCUGUUCGACUUUUAAACUGUUACAU